CCUACGGGUGGCUGCAGUGGGGAAUAUUGCGCCAUGGGCGAAAUCCUGACGCAGCCACUCCGCGUGAGGGAUGAAGGUCUUCUGAUCGUAAACCUCUGUCAGCAGGGAAGAACGGUCACUGUGCUAAUCAGCAUUGAAUUGACGGUACCUGCAAAUGAACCACCGGCUGACUCCGUGCCAGCAGCCGCGGUAAUAUGGAGGGUGCGAGCGUUAAUCGUACUUACUGGGCGUAAAGCGCGCGUAGGCGGUAUGUCAAGUCAAGGGUGAAAUCCCCGCGCUCAACGUGGGAACUGACUUUGAAACUGGCAAACUGGAGUGUGUGAGAGGAUAGUGGAAUUCCAGGUGUAGGAGUGAAAUCCGUAGAUAUACGGAGGAACACCAGUGGCGAAGGCGGAUUGCUGGACAGUAACUGACGCUGAGGCGCGAAAGCGUGGGGAGCAAACAGGAUUAGAUACCCUAGUAGUC
rnacentral:rRNA from 1 species